CACACACACACACACACACACACACACACACACACACACCGUUGUCUCUGCCCCAGUCUCUUCCGUAAGAAGAGUCUGGCAAGUUGUGUGAAGCCUUUUUCCCAGAGACAAGUCCCCUUCUGGCACCAAGUGCCAGCCUUUUCCUUCUCUCAACAAGAGACCCUUGUGGAAAUUCCAGUUUCUUGGGGUCCAUUUUGUUUCAAUAAUCUAACAGCCAAGAUGCGGGGGCAGAAGUGUCUCUUUAGAAUAUCUUCAUCCUUGCCAGAACAGUUACAGAAUCCUAUGGCUGCCCACUACUCACGGGUAAAAGGUGGUGCGACACCUGAUGACCCAGUCAGUCACUUCAUUAAGUAAUUCUGACCUCCGAUUAUGAAUUAGGUUUCAGUGGAUGGGGAAAUGGGCAUGAUGCUCAGUCACCUCUGCCAUCUGAUAUAAAGUGACCUCUAGUCCUGUUACUUUACAGCCCCAAAUUCCAGCUAAUCUCCACUUAAACUAAUCCUCUAGGCCACUCUAGACUUCCCUGCAGCAGUUCUGGAGAAUUAUUGCCUCUUUUGCUUAGGCUCUUCCUUCUGAAUUCCUUUCCCAGCCUGAUGUUACCCAAAUCCCAACUCACUUCUCAAGACUUGCUUUCCACUCUGUCUACCUACAGCAUAUGCAUUAUAUUUCCAUACAAAUAUAUAAAUAUAUGUGUUUGAAUAUGUGUAAUACAGCUAGUUUUGGUCUGUACAGUCCCCUUUUCCCACCAGGAACUGUUUACAUUUCUUAAUUUCUCAGCCAUUGGCACCUUUUUCAAUUGGCCUCAUUUCUGUUUGUAAGGCUUGCUUUGCUGUAGUUUAAAACUUGCGUCUCGUGUCCAUCUUGCAAGUCUCCCUGCCCUUGACAGCUCAACCCGAGGAAGCGCCAGCUUGGGCUGAGACGCACCCUGCACAUUUCUCUCCCUCUCAGUCUGCUGGGCACAGCUCCUUUGACAGUGGAAAAAAUAGUGGGAGAGGAAAGACCGUGAACAGCAAGAUGCAGCCUUCUCCUCCAGCUGCAUGUUAAUGUUCUGCAGCCCAGAUGCACUCCUAAGGGAGUUGCUAGACACCCAUUGCUAUUGAGAGCCGCUAGCAAAAGUCCAUGCGGGGAAUUCAUUACAUUGCCACCUGGCUAACUAUUCCAGAGGCACCAAGCCCGACCCUCUCAGCCAACACCCUACCAUGUUUCUCUGAUGUACUCAGUUCUUUGUUCCCAUGAAUGCUGCUCUGGCAAGGCUACAGCCAUCGAUCUCAUGUCCUGUCGGCCGAUUCUCAGAUCCGCAGCAGCAUUAGAGAUGCAUCUAUGUACUGCUUCAGAGUACAAACUCAAGCAAGAGGUUUCUGGUCACAUCUCCAUCUGGCGUCACCCUUUGAUGUGUGGAUCCUUCAUCUCUCGGUAACUGUUUUCCUCCUAAAAUAACGGAAGCAGCCUCAUCGAAGUGGAGACAGCUCUGUGAAGGUUCCUAAUGAUGUUCAUGGUUCCCAGUUCCUGGUGUUCCUGGCUUCUGAUUGUCCCGAGAACUAAAGCAACUGUGCGCUUUGGAAUGCUUCCUGUGUCUGCUUUGUGGCGGGUGCUCAGUAAUUUAGUCAGCUGAAGAAAAA